UGGAAGCUUGUGCGAGUUGUUAUAAAAUGGGAAGCCCUACUGCUUACUCACCACCCAUCUUCUCCAAGAGAAAAGAAGAGAAAAAAAAAAGGAGCCAGUAAGGCUUCCCACACAUCAUUCUUUUUUUAGUAACAUUAAUAUUUGCAUUUGGUUGUCUUUACCAAGCAAUUCAGAGACAUGGGAUCAGAGAGCUCUCAGCCGUCUUCUCCUCCUCCUCCUCCUCCUCCUCCUCCUCCUUCACGUGGAGGUGAAGAACCACCCAAAAACUGUCCGGUGGAUUAUAGUUUAUUAAAUUUAGUAGAUAAGGAUGAUAAGCAGUGUUGGAAACCAGAAAGGCUCGACGACCACAUGACUGCUCUACACAGUAAAAGGCUGCCCAUAGGCAAAUGGUGAAGUGGUUCAUACAUAGGACGUCUUAUAUAUCGCGGUCUGCUGUCAACUAAUAACAUCAAUAUUAUUAUUAUGUAUAAUAAUUAAGCUAUUCCAUUAAAGUUCUAUAUAUGUACUUCCACAAUCCAGAGCUUAGCAGACCUGGUAUGUAUUUGUAAUUUUAGUGUGUGUAUAUAUAUAUUGAGCUCUUAAGAAGAAGAAAAAUCGAUAACUCGCUAGAUUUACUGCACAUUAUUGAAACAAGAAAUAACCGUCAACUUUAAAAUCUUGCAUGGAGAGAGAGUACCGGUUGUCGCGUGCACGUUUCAGCGUUUACUCGUGUAUUUUGGUUUCCGAUCGUGCCCCUACCCAGCUCUCUCCAGUCUCCACCAAGCUUUUUGCCAUUUUCAACUCAUUUUUUUUCUUCAUGCAAACUAAAGCCAAUAUUUACACUAACUAUUUUACGCUUGUUCAGGAGUUGGUAAGGUGCACCCGGAAUAGAAUACAACUCGUUUGAUAAUUAUUUUAAAGCAAGGCUUAGUAAUUAUUUCGUUUUAGGUUUUAGUUAUAAACUUUUACUUUUCGUGCUUAAGAAAUAAAAUGUGUAUUGAUGAAAAAGGGUGGUGAGAGCAACGGUGGGAAGAGAUAUUAAAAAAAAAAAUGAAUAAAAAAAAAUUCAAGAUUUUGAAAAGAACUUAAAAAUAGUUUUUUUAUUUUUUGUUUCAGUUUUCAAUUUCUUCACCCUUUUCUUAUAUAUUUUUUUUCUACGUCUACCAUCACCAUCCUUCCUAAAGUUUGGUGCCUACAAUGGAAGAUUUGCAGUCUUAUAAAUAUUCUUUUUCACGGCUAAUUCAUCUUUUACACUUAAUAAUUACGAAAUUUAAAAUUAUCCUAUAUUUCUGCAAUUAAAAUUUAAAAAUUAUCCAAUACAAUCCAAUCUUGAGUACAAAAACGAUUAUGCGUUUCAUUGACAAAGUCCAUUUGACGUCAGGUGAAAUCAUGAUGCUAUAUUGUGUGGGGGUUUUUGAUCACUCUCAAUUGCAUCGUAAUUGAGUGGCAGGCAAUAUCGUUUUGGGAUUAUAAGGAAUAUAUGCUGCAAGGAGUUGACGUGACAAGCAAGCAAUUUAGUGAGUGGUGCUAAAUCAUCAAGAAUAAAAGUUAACAGACUUAAGUAUAGUUUGGCAUUGAGUUGCUUAAAAAAAAAGCUGCUUAUUUUCAAAGUUUUUACGUUGAAGGUGUUUAGUAAACUAUAAAAAAAACAUUAUUUUAGAAGUUGUUGUGAGAAUAAGCUAAAAUCUUCAAAAAGGCUGAAGCAGCUAAAUGCUGCAUUGGAAAACUGAUUUUUUUUCAAACCGCGUGGAGCUACAGUGCUUUUAAAGUUCAAUAACAUCCUCAAACCAGAAAUGGUGCUCCUUUGCCGAUCUCCACAAAACCCAGAAACCCACCAGAAACAACUUUGCUGAUCUGCACAAGAAAUGGAAACACACCCAGAAACCCACCAGACUACCAUAGCCAAAACCAGAAACGAUUUUCCUUUGCCGAUCUGUGUGCUAAACUAGCCUUAACUUUCUAAGACAUUGGAUACAAACAUCAAAACCCAAAAGCCAAAAAUUGAAUAAAUAUCAGCUUUAAGAUUUCACCGCCAUCAAUUCUAUAAUUUGAUUAAACACAAUUCCAGAAAAAUAAACAAUCUGAGCCACUAAAAGCUUGAAACUUUAUCGAUUUUGGAAAAGUCGAAAAGAAAUCGUGGGCAAUUUGGGUUAAAAACUAAAUACCUCUGGUUCUCCGAAGGUCCGGACUGAAACUAUGGCCAUUGGGCGUCGGUGAAGAGAGACGGAGAAAGGGAGGGACUACAGAGAGGAGUGUUUUCUGUUGUCGAGGAUUACAGACAGGAAUUAGGAAGGAAGGUGGUGGGAGGAAGAAGGGUUUAGAGUUAAAAUGGGUUUUGAUGCCACUUAACAAAGGUGUUUUCUUAAUUAUUGAUUUAUUAAAUAAUAAACUAAAUUUAAAAAUCUGAUUAAUUCAAAUGAUAUGGCUGUCCACAUCAUAUGCCACCUAAGGUGGUAUAGAAAUGUGGUAUAAAACAUGGUAUGAAUAGCAUUACUCAAAAAAAAUAGGAAGACUUCUAGAGAGACUAUUAAUAAAUAAAAGACAUGGAUUAUUAAUAAAUGAAGAUGGAUAAAAGGAAGAUAGGGCUGGUUUAUUAUUUUACAUUUAACAUUAUACUCAUUUUAUAGUUUUUUUGUCAUUUCACACAGUCACAACUGUUUUAUAUAAAAGUUUACCAAACACUACCAUACUGCUUUUUUUUUUCCAAAAGAACUUUUUACAAAAAAAAAUUUACCAAACACUCUGCUACUUUAUUUCACAGCAGCUUAUUCUCAUAGCACAGCAGAAACAACUUAUUCUCAUAACACAGCAGAAACAGCUUAUUAUCAUAGCACAACAGAACAGUUGUUUUUCAAAGCACAGCAGAAACAAUUUUUUUUAAAGCACAGCAAUAUCAAACCAACCCUGAGAGACUAAUCCCAAAAACACAUUUAAUUUUCAGAUAACAAAUUUUCAUAAUCUAAAUCCACCAUAAUUACCAGUAACAAAACACAAAUCACAAGGUGCUACAACCAUACGGUACUCGACAGAAAAUUAACCCCAUCAUUCGAUCUACAACUAAAACGAUAUGUACAGAACAGGCUACAAACAAAGGUGUCAUCUAGGUGUAUCUAACCAGACUCAAAAAACAGAAGGGGGAGGAGGAGGAGGGGGAGGAAGGGAAGGGAGGGUAAGUACCCUAACUGGAGGCGGCUGUGCAACUACAAUUAUUGAACAAUGCCUCGCAUCCGUCUUUAAUUUUUGGCAGACCCGAUAACAUUUCAAUCCUUCGUUACAGAUUGGUUGACCUCUGAUGUAUUAUCUUUCUGGCUUGGCGGAGGCACGGAUUCUCCUAUUUUCAACUCCCCACUUUGUUGUUGCUGCUGCUGUUGCUGUUGCUGAUGAUGCUGCUGCAUCUGUUGCUGCUGGAGUUGAUGGAGCUGAUGCUGCUGAAACUGGUGCUGCUGCUUCUGAGAAUGAAUCUGGAGCUGUUGAAACUGCUGUGCAGUUAGAAGAGUGUGCAUUGCUUGAUUGUUUGGAUAGAACUGCUGCUGACCCGCCGCGCCAAAAGAAGCGUAGUUCAUCAUAGGUCCACCAUUUGGCAUAGCUUGGCCAGUCAUAACUUUCAGAUGCUGAAUUUCUUCUUUCAGUGCAUUGUUCAAUGCUACGAGACAAACAAAAACAAUAAUGUUUCGGCACAAUUUCAUUCACAUAAGGAUCAAGAACCAGAAGUUACACGGAAUCCGAUCAGCAAGAAAACCUAAAUUAUAGUAUUGUACUGAUACUACACAAACAAGAUGCUACAGUCUAAUUUGAGCAAAACUUCUACAUCGGAUGCUAAUUGGCUCUAAAAAUUAACCAUCCAAUACGAUGGCCAGUCCACUUCAGGUUAGCCAGCAUGUUGUUUAUGGCCUACUACAACAUUGAAAAUGGGCAUAAAUUCAAGGAAAAUCGUUCUUGUCGACAUCGGUGGGGGAGGCAUACCCAGCACCGCUUUGAUUAGCCACAGGAAACUAGAUCCAAUGACUGUACACAGGCUAUGAAUUAGAAGCAAAUAGAGAGACUAAGAACAAAAAUCUACUCAUUUGAUAGACAAGCAGUAAAAUGGUCAAGGCAAGUCUACAUUUACAGCUCAGUAAUAAAAGCCAAAAACACAUAAACCUCUCCGACUAAACAUUCAUCAUAAAGAUGCCAACUCAUGCAAUAUAAAUUUAAAAACACUAAUUUAGUACCUUCUGGAUAAGUUGAAGAAACAAUCAAAUCAAAUCAUAAACUAGUUUAGCACAUAAUUUAGUACCAUCUGGAUAAUUUGAAUAAACAAUCAAAUCAUAAACUCAUUGUGCAAUAGGAAAUGCCGAGGAACCAAAGUUCUUUUGCCGAAUCUUAUAACGUAGACUAUAAUAAAUUAGGUAUUUGGUAAAAGCAUAUGGUGCAAAAAGUCUUCAUCAACCAAAAUCAGAAUUAGCAACCAAUUUUUAUUCUGAGUUAGCAGCAGGAAACAAUGUCUGCCAACUUAACUUAUGGCAUCUUGGAUUCUAAUCUAACAAAAAAUCAAGUAUAUGUAUGCUAGCAUCUACUUAUUGGAUCGUCCAUUACGUACAAAGUUAUUGUGUGUCAGCGUGCUUGUAUCAUGCUUAAUUUCUCCUUUCAGCCAAUGACCACAGACAAUUCAAUAAAAUUAAGGAAAGAAAUAGAUUAUAUGAAAAUUAAUUCUAAUCAUGAAAAUUAUGUACAUUGUUUGCAAACGCAGUUUCAGUUCACUGUUCUCAGCAGUCAGACCAUUUGUAUCUCUCUGCUCAUAAAGAAAUCCAUAAGAAUAAUCGCUUGUAUCUCGUUAUGUAAGCUAGAUCAAACAGUCAUGUGAGUAGUGAAGUGAAAACGAAGGGAAUCAUAAGCAAAGACAUUCAUCUAAUCAGUCCAAUAAAGAGAACCUGGUCUAAUAAAGGAAUGGGUUAAGUGAAAUUUACCUGCAAGAGAGUCAAUUGAGCAGACAAGGAUGUUGCUUCUGUUUGCAACGUCUGGACUUUCUGUUCAAGCUCAGCAAUAUCUCGCAUUUUCCUUUCUUUUGACCUUGCAGCUGAAUGCCUAUUAGCCCGGAUCCUAAUGCAUGUCAACCAAAGGUAAAAUAUUAAGCAUAAUAGUUGAAGCAACGGGGCAAAACAAGGAGACAACGAACUCUUUUAUUUUCAUUUAAGAAGGGAAAAUGAAGAAGGGCAAAAACUAGAAAGCACCAAAGAAAAUCAGAUCCACUUCAAGGGUAACAAGAUGUCACAGGUGCAUUGUUGGAUUGUAUUGCACUUGGUUUGAUGUUAUUUUAGUCGACAAUGCAAAGAUUGGAGAAACAAAGAGGAUGGCACAUAUAACUGCCCCUCACCAUUGACCUUCUCAAAUUUGGAUCACUUAAGCAUUGGAUUGUAUUCAUUCUUCAUGUUAACUUUGUUCUGCAGGCUUCCUUCCUAUGGCUAACUUAAGCAUUUGAGUUAUUCUUUUUUUUUUCAAAGAUAUUUAGCUAUUUAAGUUUUUUUUUUGCCUGAUGUUGAACGAGAUUUUAAAUUCGAAUUAUGGUACCUAUUAUACAUGGCCGCACAUGGUGUGAAGAGAAUGAGCAUAUAUGCAAGUCCUCUUGUGGACCCGUAAAGGAAUGGGAAGCCCUACUGCUUAGUCCCCACCCAUCUUCUGCAAGAGAAAAGAAGAGAAAAAAACAAAUAGAGCCAGUAAGGCUCCCCACCCAUCAUUCUUUUUUUAGUAACAUUAAUAUUUGCAUUUGGUUGUCUUUACCAAGCAAUUCAGAGACAUGGGAUCGGAGAGCUUUCAGCCGUCUUCUCCUCCUCCUCCUCCAUGUGGAGGUGAAGAACCACCCAGAAACUGGCCGGUGGAUACUAAUUCAUCAAAUUUAGUACGUAAGGAUGAUAAGCAGGAUGGGAAACGAGACACCCCCUCCUACAUAUGCAGUAAAAGGCAACCCAGAGGCAAAUGGUGAAGUGGUUCAUACAUAGGACGUCUUGUAUAUCGCGGUCUGCUGUCAACUAAUAACAUCAAUAUUAUUAUUAUGAAUAAUAAUUAAGCUCUUCCAUUAAAGUUCUAUAUAUGUACUUCCAGAAUCCAGAGCUUUGUUAUGUUUGUCCCCUAGCAGACAUGGCAUGUAUUUGUAAUUUUAGUGAAUUUUAAUUUUAGUGUGUGUGUCUGUGUCUCUGUGUGUGUGUAGAGCUCUUAAGAAGAAGGAAAAUAGAUCACUCACUAGAUUUAUUGUACAUUAUUGAA
rnacentral:lncRNA from 1 species